rnacentral:rRNA from 1 species
UAGCUAGUUGGUGAGGUAAAGGCUUACCAAGGCGACGAUCUGUAGCGGGUCUGAGAGGAUGAUCCGCCACACUGGAACUGAGACACGGUCCAGACUCCUACGGGAGGCAGCAGUGGGGAAUUUUGGACAAUGGGGGCAACCCUGAUCCAGCCAUGCCGCGUGAGUGAAGAAGGCCUUCGGGUUGUAAAGCUCUUUCGGCCGGGAAGAAAUCGCAUGGGCCAAUACCCUGUGUGGAUGACGGUACCGGAAUAAGAAGCACCGGCUAACUACGUGCCAGCAGCCGCGGUAAUACGUAGGGUGCGAGCGUUAAUCGGAAUUACUGGGCGUAAAGCGUGCGCAGGCGGUUUUGUAAGACAGGCGUGGAAUCCCCGGGCUUAACCUGGGAACUGCGCUUGUGACUGCAAGGCUAGAGUACGGCAGAGGGGGGUGGAAUUCCACGUGUAGCAGUGAAAUGCGUAGAGAUGUGGAGGAACACCAAUGGCGAAGGCAGCCCCCUGGGUCGAUACUGACGCUCAUGCACGAAAGCGUGGGUAGCAAACAGGAUUAGAUACCCUGGUAGUCCACGCCCUAAACUAUGUCAACUAGGUGUUGGGUGGGUAAAACCAUUUAGUACCGUAGCUAACGCGUGAAGUUGACCGCCUGGGGAGUACGGCCGCAAGGUUAAAACUCAAAGGAAUUGACGGGGACCCGCACAAGCGGUGGAUGAUGUGGAUUAAUUCGAUGCAACGCGAAAAACCUUACCUACCCUUGACAUGCCAGGAACUUGCCAGAGAUGGCUUGGUGCCCGAAAGGGAGCCUGGACACAGGUGCUGCAUGGCUGUCGUCAGCUCGUGUCGUGAGAUGUUGGGUUAAGUCCCGCAACGAGCGCAACCCUUGUCGUUAAUUGCCAUCAUUUAGUUGGGCACUUUAACGAGACUGCCGGUGACAAACCGGAGGAAGGUGGGGAUGACGUCAAGUCCUCAUGGCCCUUAUGGGUAGGGCUUCACACGUCAUACAAUGGUCGGUACAAAGGGUUGCCAAGCCGCGAGGCGGAGCCAAUCCCAGAAAGCCGAUCGUAGUCCGGAUUGCAGGCUGCAACUCGCCUGCAUGAAGUCGGAAUCGCUAGUAAUCGUGGAUCAGCAUGUCACGGUGAAUACGUUCCCGGGUCUUGUACACACCGCCCGUCACACCAUGGGAGCGGGUUCCGCCAGAAGUAGGUAGCCUAACCGCAAGGGGGGCGCUUACCACGGCGGGGUUCGUGACUGGGGUGAAGUCGGAACAAGGUAGCCGUAGGGGAACCUGCGGCUG